GGCAGUGAUGUUUGAUACUUGUUUUUGAAGGAAUAUUUCAAUCUUUCCAAUAUAUCUCGGCUAGGGUUGAGUUUGUGUUACGAAACACUCCUUUUAUCCCCCUUCUGUAAAUUUCGGGCACUUCUCAUUUAGUUUCUCUGCAGUGAUGCCAACAUUUCUAGUAAAUAUGUUCGUGGUUUCAUGGCUCGUUGCAGACCCUCCUAUCAAGCUGCAGCGGAUGUAGGUACAUUUUGCGGUCUUGACGAUUGUUGAUCCUGAAAUUGCUGAUUCGUUCCAUGGCAGUUAUCUGUGCGAAUAAUGGAAACAAUACAACUACUUACUUCGGGAAUUUCCGGUUCCUAGAAGUGUCCUGCCUUUUGCAAUGUGGAGCCUCGAAAGCCGAGAAUAUGGCUAUGGCAAGUUUCAAUUUGGCAUCGAGACCAUUGAGUUACUACCAAGACAAGAAUGUACCUUGAGCUCGCUGUAGAGGAUUUUGAGCUUGCUGCCGAAAUCGAGAGAGUUACUAUGACAAUUUCAGCAGGUGGCAAAAUCAUUUGAUGCAAUCAUACCCUUGAAGAUGAUAUCAUGGAUAGAGAUUGUUAGGC
rnacentral:lncRNA from 1 species